AGAUGUGAGGGCGAUCUGGCUGCGACAUCUGUCACCCCAUUGAUCGCCAGGGUUGAUUCGGCUGAUCUGGCUGGCUAGGCGGGUGUCCCCUUCCUCCCUCACCGCUCCAUGUGUGUCCCUCCCAAAGCUGCGUGCUCGGUGGAAGAGGACGACCAUCCCAGAUAGACGGAGUGUACCGUUCUUCGGUCAAGGGCUCAAGUCCAGCAGCUCUUCAGGAGCUCAGGCAGAGAGAUCCUUGGGUGCUGCUAAGAUCCCUUAUAAGCAGUCAGGAGGGGAGUGCAACUGGGAGCUGGUGGUGUCAAGUCCCACAAAGCCAAGCCCUGUUCCU